UUUUUCUUUUUUUUUUUUUUUUUUUUUUUUGUCUUUUUGUCUUUCCUUGGGUCACUCUCACGGCACAUGGAGGUUCCUGGCUUCAGUUGCCCCAAGCUAUACCUCUCUCUUCUGAUCUAUCCAAGAAAAUUAAUUUCUCUUUUUACCUAAACUAGUUCCAGUAGAAUUUUUGUCACUUUCCAUCAGGAAAUCCCUGACUAAUCUAAAAAAUAAUCCCUUUGAGGAAAGCUCAAUUCACAAAUUUGGCAAUCUUGUUGGAGCCCCCAUUAUAUGAAGUUACAGCUCUAGUGUAAUUUCAAACACAGACUGGAAGAGAUGUGAUAAAUGUUAAAAAAAAAAAAAUGGUUAUUAUUUACCACUUAAAGGGACAACAUACUCAUAUUUGCAUUUGGAAACAAGAUCUUGCAGCCAAAACCUGCUAGGCAAGAGUGCAGAACCUAAACAUAGACACACAGUCAGCAGUCUUACUAGGAAUCUAGUCUGUCAAUUUCACUAACUUCAUCUCCCAAUCACACCCCAUAUACACACCCAGCACUCCAAACUAUCCAGAUUUAAACAUCUUUUGCAACAGAAUGUUAAUUUCACAUGUUCACCAGGAAGAUAAAUUUUUGCACCUAGCACACUUGAGAAGUAAGAUAAACUGGGGAUGAUAUUCUAAAUAUUUAACAACCAGACCAGGAAGGGCAUGGAGCAAUCAGAAGAGAGGCUGGCUAGCAACAGCUCUACAUGUGAACGUUAAGUCUCAAAGCAGAGUGCAUGAAAAACUAGGAUUCUGGACUCCAGCCUCCAGGGAAACCUCAGGUUUAGGGAUUGAGAGAACCCCAGUAGGCUGACAAUGAGGGGCUUGCAAAGAGACUUUGAGCUGUGCCUCAGCCCAUCCAUCAGUCAAUCAGCCAUCCGCUGUCAACAGGCACAAAUGGUCACAAGCCACUCCACCACUGUAUUUUUAUAGGCUUCUGAUCACUACUUUAAGUUAAUUCAUUGCUUCAUUAGACAUGCUAAUUCCGUAAAUCAAUACAGCGAAGGCACUUUGCUCCAGGUCCCUUCCUAUCUCUGCCAGAUCUCUACGCAGAAGUAGCCAAAACACAAUCGACAGCAGACAUGUUGUGAUUUCUGUGUUUCAAAGAAUCAGAGUCCAGCCAUCCAAAAAAGUGCUCUAAACCAAUUUAAAUCCACUCAGACCCUUGAGUAAAUGGCAAAGAAGAAGGCCAGUGCGUUCUCCUGCACAGCAAAAUAUUCUAAAUGCCCUUUGAGCAGAGUUCUUUUGGUCAGUCUCUGUCCUCAUGCCAUCUCUCUCCCCCUCCCAGCCAUGGACUCCAGAAAAAUUCUCCCUCUGACAGUGACUCCUGAAAAUUCUCUUUUCCAGCUCUAAUCAUCUCCCACUCUCCCUACUAAAAUUAAGUCCAAGGGGCUCUACUUGCCUUUGCCCAAAGCUUCGAAAUCAUCGUAGAGGCUCAGAAAACUUUCCUUCUGAUCCCUCCCUCCCUGCCCCUUGCACUGCCUCCUGCUCCCACCACACCGCAACAGCAGCUUCCAAGAGAGGGGAAGCCAUGGCUGCAGGCUUACUUCCUCUGGCUGGGAGCACCAAGGACUCCUUACCACCCAACUCACACCCCAGGGGAGGGAGAUGGUGAAACCCCCUCCUCCAUAUUCUGGUGGAGACUCUCUGGUGAAUGGAAUGUUCCAUCUGCUUGUACAUGUCCCUACUUCAGGACAACUUGUAUCGUUUUCCUAGGGUUUUCAUCCCCAGUUCUUGUAAAUGCCUUAUAUCCGACUCCGAGGCACCCUUAGACAACCCCUGCCAGGAGGCCCUCUCACCAGGGUCAGCCAUGUGGCCUUAGCUAAUUACACUCCCUCUGAGUUGGGAGGAUAACCUCAAGGUACCAGAUUAAUCUGCUGCUUCUUUUUCCCUCUCUUUACAUCCGAGCCCUGGAAGAACAAAAGACCUCAGAAUAGCAUGACAAGCCUUGUCUGGUUUAAGGAGCUCUGACUUAAGAACUGGAAAAUAAGAGUUCCUGCUGUGGCACAGUGGGUUAAGGACCCAGCAUUACCACAGCUAUGGCAUAGGUUGCAGCUGAGGCUCUGAUUCAGUCCUUGGCCUGGGAACUUCCAGAUGCCUCGGGUGCAGUUGUUAAAAAAAGAGAGAGAGAGAGAGAAUUGGAAACCAUAGGUUCUGGUCCCACCCACCACCACAAGCUGGUUGACUCUGAACCCAUGAGUUCCGUUCUGGGGGACUCAAUUUGAAGGUGUUGGACUACACAGAGGGUUUCUCAGCAGGAGGAGAGAUGUCUAAGCAAAUGGCCUUUUUCAUUUGUAUUUAUUUGUUGGGAUUGAUCAUAUGAUUGAUUGCACUUAGAGAGAAAAAAAAAAAAACAGUGGCUAAAAAUGUUUUAAAAACACUGCCCUAGAUGAUAUCUCCAAGGUCCUUCCAGUUCUAAUUGUCCAAGAGUCUGUGAUUUUCCCCACUGGCCUCUAUUUGUAGAGGAAGUCAGCAAUGAGCAAUCUUUUUUUCCAUUUUCCAAAUCAAUCAGGGUAUGACAAGCAGUUAUAAUCGAACUUCCUUAAGCACUCUAACUGGGAGAUGUCUUAGGGAAAAAUCAUUACCCUAGAUCAUGGGUUAAGUAAUCUCCUCUCUGGCAGUGCUGAUCUCUCUGAUCAGCAUCCUUAGGGGUAGCUAUUUGUAAGUGGCCUUACUCCUCUGGGCUCCAACAAAACCACUGGCAUCAUCCUGAGGACAGAUGGCCUGACAAAAUAAUCAUGGGGGAAUAAAAUCAUUCUCGUGGGAGAAUAAAGUUCUGCAGGCCACCUCCAAAUCAGGAGCAGGCAGUGACUAAAGGAGGAAGCCAGGGGAUGGGAGGGGACAUUGUCUUACCAAUUGAUGCAGAAAGAGAUUUUGCCAACCCACAAUACCUCCUCCCUCUGUCCCUCUAGCCAAUGCUGUUGACCUUCCUGUUCUCUGCUCCUUUUGCUGGAUUUGGCAAUGAUUUCUUGGAUAUAACGUGAAACAAAAAGACAUAGGCAACAAAAGUGAAAAAAGAUAAAUAGGACUUUGAAAAAUUUUUUUAAUAUUUGUUUAAAUUAAAAAAUUUUAAAUAGGACACUAUUAACAGAGUGAACAGGCAAUCUGCAGAAUGGAAGAAAAUAUUGCAAAUUAUAAAUCUGAUAAGGGAUUAGUAUCCAUAAUAUAUAAAGAGCUCCUACAACUCAACAAGAAACCUCAAUGAUCAAAUGGGCCAAGAACUUGAAUAGAUAUUUUCCCAGCAGACAACAUACAACUGUCCAAUAAGCACAAGCACUUCUGAGGCAGAGCAAGGAUGUGCUCCCAAUGUGCUUGCUGGGUGAGUGCAUCCAGAUGAAAGAAUAAAUCCCAGCCAUAUAAACCAGGGAAUGUGUCUCCUUCAAAUGAAAACACUGAUCACCACCUGCCUCCCCUCAGACACUAUUCUGCAAUGGAUUUUUAGAGCUUUUACAUUCAACAUACUAAUUACAGACCAAAGAAUGUGCAGAUUCAAGCAUUUUUCUUUUUACCAUGUUUCCUGAUCUUUAUGAAGAAUUAAUUUAAAUUUUUUUUCUGUUUAAAAAAAUUUAUAGGAGUUCCCUGGUGGCCUAACAGUUAAGGUCUCAAACUUGUCACUGCUGUGGUUCAAGUUACUGCUGUGGGUCAGGUUCAAUCCCUGGCCCGAGAAACUUUCACAUACCACAUGUAGCCAAAAAAAAAAAAAAAAAAA
rnacentral:lncRNA from 1 species